GGGAUUGUAGCUCAAUCGGUUAGAGCGGAGGACUCAUAAUCCUUAGGUUCACAGUUCAAGUCUGUGCGGUCCUA
rnacentral:tRNA from 1 species